CUUGAGAGUUUGAUCCUGGCUCAGAACGAACGCUGGCGGCAUGCCUAACACAUGCAAGUCGAACGAGACCUUCGGGUCUAGUGGCGCACGGGUGCGUAACGCGUGGGAACCUGCCCUUAGGUUCGGAAUAACAGUUAGAAAUGACUGCUAAUACCGGAUAAUGUCUUCGGACCAAAGAUUUAUCGCCUUUGGAUGGGCCCGCGUUGGAUUAGAUAGUUGGUGGGGUAAUGGCCUACCAAGUCGACGAUCCAU
rnacentral:rRNA from 1 species